UAUGGUGGCUGCCGAAAGGUGGCGCUCUCUCCUACCCUGGCUGCCUGAGUAUAUCCGUGUUAACCUGAUAAGGAGUUAUUCUAAACUCGACGAUAAACGUGUGCGGUAGCAGCAAAUAUUGCUCCCUCGGCCGCACAUUUUAGGAGUUCGUUAACCUUGAGCACAUAGCUCCCUUUUACGAACCCUAUAAUUGACGAAUAAUUGAACUACCCUGUUUGUAUAUUGCCAAUCUCUGACAACUCCCUUUUAGGGGUAAGCUUAUGUUAUUAUAUAUAUAUAUAUAUUGUGUUGUGUUAUAUUAAUUGAGUUAUUAUUUUAUUCUUGUCAUUUUUAUAUAUUAUAUUUUAAUAAUUGACAAUGGCCUUUUGCCUUUUUAAUGUGUUUAGUUUUAACAUUCUUUUCUAUGCAUUUAUGGAAUUUAUUAUAUUAUUUCAGACUAAAUUACGGCAAAUACAAUAAAGGCAUUGCAACAA